AGCAGCAUGGCGCAGUGGUAGCGCGCGGGGCCCAUAUAGACCACAGUGACCACACUACUGGAACCCCGAGGUCACUUGAUCGAAACAAGUUGCUGCUA